GACGAACGCUGGCGGCGUGCUUAACACAUGCAAGUCGAACGAAGAGCGAUGGAAGCUUGCUUCUAUCAAUCUUAGUGGCGAACGGGUGAGUAACGCGUAAUCAACCUGCCCUUCAGAGGGGGACAACAGUUGGAAACGACUGCUAAUACCGCAUACGCUCUAACCUCGGCAUCGAGGAAAGAUGAAAGGUGGCCUCCAUGUAUAAGCUAUCACUGAAGGAGGGGAUUGCGUCUGAUUAGCUAGCUGGAGGGGAAACGGCCCACCAAGGCGAUGAUCAGUAGUCGGUCUGGGAGGAUGAACGGCCACAUUGGGACUGAGAAACGGCCCAGAAUCAUACGGGUGGCAGCAGUGGGGAAUCUUACGCAAUGGAUGAAAGUCUGACGGAGCAACGCCGCGUGAGUGAUGACGGCCUUCGGGUUGUAAAGCACUGUUAAUCGGGACGAAAGGCCUUCUUGCGAAUAGUGAGAAGGAUUGACGGUACCGGAAGAGAAAGCCACGGCUAACUACGUG
rnacentral:rRNA from 1 species